CUGCUGCGGCGCGCAGAAAUGGACGUGUCCGUCGAUACCGGCGGCUGUCAGGAUCAUAUGCUCGCCGCUGAUGGCAUCGGUGGACGGUCCUGUGACCAGGUUCGGGCUGACUCCCUCCAUGACGUUGGGAUUUCCGGCUUUGCCGAUUCCUGCGAUCUUACCGUCCUUUACUCCGACAUCUGCCUUGAUGACGCCCAGCAACGGGUCCAGGAUCGUGACGUUGGUGAUCACCAGGUCCAGGCUUCCGGCAUCUGAUGUACAUUCGUUGGCGAGUCCCAUGCCGUCGCG
rnacentral:sRNA from 1 species